CAAUGGGAGAAAUCCUGAAGCAGCAACGCCGCGUGGAGGAUGAAGGGUCUAUGACUUGUAAACUCCUGUAAAGAAGGAAAAAAUUCCCAUUAGAUGGGAGAUGAUGGUACUUCUGGAGUAAGCCCUGGCUAACUACGUGCCAGCAGCCGCGGUAAUCCGUAGGGGGCAAGCGUUGUUCGGAUUUACUGGGUGUAAAGGGUGCUCAGGCGGAUUUGUAAGUCAGAGGUGAAAUCUUACAGCUUAACUGUGAAACUGACUUUGAUACUGCAAGCCUAGAGUAUGGAAGAGAGUGAUGGAAGAGCUGGUGUAGUAGCGAAAUGCGUAGAUAUCAGAUAGAACACAAAUGGCGAAGGCAGUCACUUGGGCCAUUACUGACGCUAGAGCACGAAAGCGUGGGUAGCAAACA
rnacentral:rRNA from 1 species